rnacentral:rRNA from 1 species
GAUGAACGCUGGCGGCGUGCCUAAUACAUGCAAGUCGAGCGAAUGGAUUAAGAGCUUGCUCUUAUGAAGUUAGCGGCGGACGGGUGAGUAACACGUGGGUAACCUGCCCAUAAGACUGGGAUAACUCCGGGAAACCGGGGCUAAUACCGGAUAACAUUUUGAACCGCAUGGUUCGAAAUUGAAAGGCGGCUUCGGCUGUCACUUAUGGAUGGACCCGCGUCGCAUUAGCUAGUUGGUGAGGUAACGGCUCACCAAGGCAACGAUGCGUAGCCGCACUGAGAGGGGGAUCGACCAGACUGGGACUGAGAAACGGCCCAGACUCCUACGGGAGGCAGCAGUAGGGAAUCUUCCGCAAUGGACGAAAGUCUGACGGAGCAACGCCGCGUGAGUGAUGAAGGCUUUCGGGUCGUAAAACUCUGUUGUUAGGGAAGAACAAGUGCUAGUUGAAUAAGCUGGCACCUUGACGGUACCUAACCAGAAAGCCACGGCUAACUACGUGCCAGCCGCCGCAGUAA